CUGCUGCUUGCCCAGCGGUUGCACCGGCCGGGACGGACGGCCGUGCCCUCCGCUGGGCAGGUGGGCUGACUGCCAGCCCCACUGUGGUCCCCUAGUCCUCCCACUCCGGUGUUGCCGCCGCGUCGCCGCCUUUGUUAUGGUGUCUGUGUGUUGGUUUCUGGGGUUGUGUGAGCGCCAGGGCCGGAAACCGAGAGCCCGGGAGUCCAGCCUGUGCCAGGCGGAGGCGGUGGCUGCUCCCCUGGCGCCACUCCGGCCCCCAGCCGAGGUGGAGGGAAGAGCGGCCCCUGGGCGCGGGGGCUGUCCUCGCCGCCUGCACCACUCGCCCGGCGCCGAGAGACGCCCGCCGGGGCUCUUCAGCAAAAGCCCUUGUCAGUUUAAAAGAAGGAAGCUUAUCUAACACGUGGAAUGAAAAGUACAGUUCUUUACAGAAAACACCUGUUUGGAAAGGCAGGAAUACAAGCUCUGCUGUGGAAAUGCCUUUCAGAAAUUCAAAACGAAGUCGACUUUUUUCUGAUGAAGAUGAUAGGCAAAUAAAUACAAGGUCACCUAAAAGAAACCAGAGGGUUGCAAUGGUUCCACAGAAAUUUACAGCAACAAUGUCAACACCAGAUAAGAAAGCUUCACAGAAGAUUGGUUUUCGAUUACGUAAUCUGCUCAAGCUUCCUAAAGCACAUAAAUGGUGUAUA
rnacentral:lncRNA from 1 species